GCCCCUGUCUUUCACAUGGGCUGUAAUUUAGUUCAAUUCAGAACUGCAGAAUAGUACAGCUUGCACGGGAGCAAGGGAUGCCUGAGCACAAGCGGGAGUUCCGGGUGACUUUCCGAAGCGCUUUCCUGCCUUCCCCCUUCGUGGGGACGGGGACUCUGCACCUGCAUCAAGGACAGUCCGGCCACAGCCGCUGCUGUGCCUCCGGAGACAGGGAACUAGCACAAAUGACCAUUUUGAAAUUGGAUCUAAGCAAAAUUACCGUCAAGUCCAUAAAGGACACUGAAGGAAUUUGAUCUUAAAUGACAGAAGUUCGAAGAAACGUGCGACGUCUCCGGAGAAGAUCUUCUCUGUGCCCCAAAUCAGGACGUGAUUGAGAUCGACGCCCAGAUGCUCCAUGUAGGUCAGGACAUCAGGCAGAGAAAAGGACUGGAGACUGACGCGAAGACGCUCUAUUUCACACGCUUGCCCUCUGGAAGGACUGGCAGAGGCAGUCACUUAAAUUAACUACAGGUCAGCAGACAAGAUACAUGAUCUAUUUCUCAGACAGACAACUUCAGCGUCCCAGACCCCGAUGGCCUUCCGCGGAGGCGCAGCACACGGCUUCUUCACGCUCCCCGUCGGUUCAUGUUAGAGGUUGCUGUGCUCGUAAGGGGUGUUUCGUGUGUCCUGUGGUCCCUCUUGCUCAAAGCAAAGAAAUGGCUUUGGUUAAUUUAUGACCUACUAACCUUAAGCAAAACUGAAAUAAUGUUCUCACAAGCCAAGGGGAAGAAAA